UACGUAGGGGGCAAGCGUUGUCCGGAUUUAUUGGGCGUAAAGAGCGUGUAGGCGGCCAGGGAGGUCCGUUGUGAAAACUCGAGGCUCAACCUCGAGACGCCGAUGGAAACCCCCUGGCUAGAGUCCGGAAGAGGAGAGUGGAAUUCCUGGUGUAACGGUGAAAUGCGCAGAUAUCAGGAAGAACACCCGUGGCGAAGGCAGCCCCCUGGGCCAACACUGACGCUCAGGCACGAAAGCGUGGGGAGCAAACAGG
rnacentral:rRNA from 1 species